AGCGCUUGGAGGAGGCGCCUUGCAACAGAUGGGUAAAGCCGGCUCCUCACUGAGUCCCGCACUGGCCGGCGGCGGCAGCGGCCGAGCCACUUGCAGGGAGGCAGAAAGGCGCGGCAGCUGUGUGGUCCUGCAGGCAGGCGGCGGAGCGGACCACCCCCAAGCCCUGCUCGGGGCGGUGAGGCGGCUGCCUGCCCCCAAGGUCCAGGGGCAGCUGGAGGUCGCUGUUCGCUCCCCCUGCUGCUGCUGGGGGCCAUCUCUGGCCGGCCCGCCUCCUCCCCCGGUGCAGUUGCCGCUUACCAGCUCGCUGUUUUGAGGAUAACAAUGGCAUGAUGUGGUGGAUAUUGACUUUCCAAAUCUGCAAGUAAAGAGGAAAUAGAAGACAUUAACCCACCUGUUUGGAGAGAACGCAAAAUCAGCACAAUAUGGCACAGCCUAGCAUUGUUCUUGGAUUAUUCAUAAUGACUGUUUUAUCAAUGCUGUAUGGAAGUUCAGCUUUCCUAUUAAAUCAGCGUCUGAAGGGAAGAUUUCAAAGGGACCGCAGAAACAUCCGUCCAAACAUCAUUCUCAUUCUUACUGACGAUCAGGAUGUAGAACUUGGUAAGAGCCAGAGUAUUUUAGCUCACAGAUAUGGCAUUGCUUUUGCUUGGGGCUAGAUUCUGCUCUCAGACACUCUAGUGUAAAUGAACAUUUUGACCAGUGCAGCAGAGAACAGGAUCUAAUCCCUAACCUGCAAACAAUUUUUUUUCUGUGUGAAAUGUA
rnacentral:lncRNA from 1 species